rnacentral:rRNA from 1 species
CGAGCACGCGCGUGUGGCAUAUCAAUAAGCGGAGGAAAAGAAACUAACAAGGAUUCCCUUAGUAACGGCGAGUGAAGCGGGAAGAGCUCAAAUUUGAAAUCUUCAAGGUUCUACCUUGAUCGAAUUGUAGUUUAUAGAAGUGUUUUCUGUUAGUAGGAGUGGCAAAAGUUCUUUGGAAUAGGACAUCAUAGAGGGUGAGAAUCCCGUAUUUGGUCAUUCUCUUCCUAGCUUUGUGAUACACUUUCAACGAGUCGGAUUGUUUGGGAAUGCAGUCCAAAAUGGGUGGUAAAUUUCAUCUAAAGCUAAAUAUUGGCGAGAGACCGAUAGCGAACAAGUACCGUGAGGGAAAGAUGAAAAGAACUUUGAAAAGAGAGUUAAACAGUACGUGAAAUUGUCAAAAGGGAAGCGUUUGACACCAGUGUUGUUUUUCCGAAAAUCAAUUACGAAUGUUUUAGUUUUUGAGGAGUUAUGACUUCAUCGGCUUGCUCCUUUCUUUAUGAAACUUUCAUUAAUGCACUUUUCGGUUAACAAGUCAACAUCAAUUUCUUUUGUUGUAAAAGGGUAUGAGGAAGGUGGCUUUCUUUUCGGAGAAAGUGUUUAUAGCCUUGUGCCUCUGCAAUCGGAGAGAUUGAGGUCUGCAGCGUAGAUCCUUCGGGGUUAGAUACAUUUGUGCUAAGCUUAUAGCUUUUUAUAGACAACUUGUUGACUAUGAUUAGUCUUGUAACUUACUCGCUUAUGCUAUUUUACCUACGCUUAGGAUGUUGAACUCUAUCACACACAG